AUUUCUAUAUUAUCAACAAUAAAAGUCAAUUUCUAACUUACAAGGAGAGAUCAUGAUGAUGGGAUCGUCGAUUUUCAAAAAAAUUAUAUGGUAUCUAAUCUAAAUUGAAUAUAAAGUUGUAUUUACUUUGAAUUUUUUUAAACAGGAAAAAUAACUUAAUAGACAAAUAACCAUAUGAACUACCUUAAAUAGCCUUUUUUAUCUACAUACGAUCGUAGCAACCUGUGGGUCAAUUGGUAACGUACGAGUCCCAAAGCACUUGAAGUACGGGGUUUCAAAUUCCGCGUAGCGGUCUAAUUUUUUGCAUUUUUUUAAUAUAUUUAUAAAACAUUUUAAAAAUAUUGUCACAAUAUAUUUUUUAUAAUAUUUUAGAAAUAUACCUUUAAAAUAUUGUGAGAAUGUAAUAUUCGCUCCAAAGUAUAUUCUGAGAACAUUGUAAGAAUAUUUCAAAAUAUUCUGGUUAUAUUCUAGAAAUAUUUUAAUAUCAAAAAUAAAUAUUCUAGGAAUAUUCUAGAAAUAUUUCAUUGCUAUGUGGGCAGAUGCUUCACUUAAUAUAAAAUCAAAAAGAUUAUUACCUGGUUAGUGACCACUCAUUAAAAAUGGCACACUAAAAUUAAAAAGUGAUUUUAUAAGGCAUAAGGGGAGGGGAUUGUAACAGAUUAUAAUGUCACAGCCAUGUUUUUGUUUGCUUGGCAUCCAUUAAAAAUAUGAAAAAGGAAAGAAUUCAUAUUAUUACAGUUAACCAGGCGUGAAUGAGCAGAAAAUAUGGAGAACAAAAAGUAGAAAUAAAUCCAUUCAAUUAUUCAAUAAAUAGAAGAUUUGAGUCCUAAAGCCACCAUCUAACUCCUGCAGUUCACCCAAAUUGUCGCCAUCACUGAACAAUUGCAGCUGUUGCCGACCUCAUCCAACAUUUCAUCACCAUUGUGUUACCUGUCGAGUCGUCUAUAUCUGACGUCGCUGCAAUUUUGGUUCACUGGUCAUUGUGACUUGAGCCAAUCGUCGUCCAAUACCAGCGCAAUCACUGUCCGAAAUCACUGCCGAUGUGGAUCUACGUCCGAAACCAUUACCACCAAAGCCUCCACACUCAGCAGCCAUCUUCACUGUUGACGUGGGUUUACACUGCUGUUGUGAAGUCUAGAAUGUUGCAACUAUCGUCCGGGCAACAGUCAACCUCUUGGCCCCCAACCCACAUAUGUAAGCAAUGGUCGUAACAUCAACGUUGAUUGCGAUAUGUGUUCCUAGUGGAUCUACAUAUGUGUGUUGUAUAGGUAGUAUGAUGCUUAUGUGAUUAACCAUCAGGGGAAUCUCAUCCCGAGUUACUUACGACUGAGGCCAUAAGCAAAUGUUCGGUCAAGAUAAGUAUUUGCAAAGAUUAUAGAAAAUCCGAACGCAUUGUUACCAAAAAGAGACUAGCAACUACGUAAUAUCAACCAUGGGUUCAACGUCAACAUCUGAUAUUCGGGACAGGGAAAAAAUUAGACGCAUAAAAUAUUUAUAAUUUUGCCGAACGUAAGAUAUUAUAAAAAUACUUAUAUAAGUGUAAAUUGAUUUUUGUGUGUAUAUAACUAUUGUUAUAUUUAAUUU